CCGAGCAAAUCCGAAAUAAACAAUAUCACGGAAAGAGAGGCGGAGAUCUUCAUCUUCUCAUUGCCAGUCAUGGGAAAAAAUAUGGGAAGCUGAGAGUUGCACAGUGCCCACUGCUCACAUCCCCUCUCGGCCUCUGCCUGUCCUCCUCCAUAAAAGCUUCAAUCUUUGGAAUCCUUGUGAGGUGCAAAAUGUCCAGGAAACAGGCCUUCUCUUUCCCUUCGUAAUCUUUUCUUUCCCGGAGAACAGAACGGGGUAGUGAGGCUGUGAGGGGAUGGAGCGGCAGAAUGAUGGCAGUGACGGUGGAGGCAAGAUCAAGGUUGGUGUCUGCGUCAUGGAGAAGAAGGUGUGGUGUUCUCCCAUGGAGCAGAUUCUUGAGAGGCUGCGGGCGUUCGGGGAGUUUGAGAUUAUAAUUUUUGGUGACAAAGUCAUUCUUGAAGAUCCUAUUGAAAGCUGGCCUUUAUGUGACUGUCUAAUUGCCUUUUACUCAGCUGGGUAUCCACUAGAAAAGGCAGAGAAAUAUGCUGCUUUACGCAGGCCAUUUUUGGUCAAUGAGUUGGACCCCCAAUACCUUCUUCAUGAUCGCAGCAAAGUAUAUGAGCACCUUAAAUUGUUUGGAGUUCCUGUUCCAACUUAUGCUGUUGUCAGAAGAGAAUACCCUAACCAAGAGUUGAACUACUUUGUUGAGCAAGAUGAUUUUAUUGAAAUCCAUGGAAAGCGGUUUUGCAAGCCUUUCGUGGAAAAACCAAUUGAUGGAGAUGACCAUAAUAUAAUGAUAUACUAUCCUAGCUCUGCUGGUGGAGGAAUGAAAGAACUGUUCCGCAAGGUUGGCAAUCGAUCCAGUGAAUUUUAUCCGGAUGUUAGGAAGGUGAGGCGAGAUGGAUCUUACAUUUAUGAAGAGUUCAUGCCAACAGGAGGAACAGAUGUCAAGGUUUAUACAGUUGGUCCAGGAUAUGCACAUGCUGAAGCACGCAAAUCUCCAGUUGUAGAUGGGGUUGUCAUGAGGAAUUCUAAUGGCAAAGAGGUGCGCUAUCCUGUUUUACUAACCCCUACUGAGAAACAAAUCGCAAGGAAUAUUUGCCAAGCCUUCAGACAAGCGGUGUGUGGUUUUGAUCUUCUAAGGUGUGACUUGGGGGAGGCAAGGUCUUAUGUAUGCGAUGUCAAUGGCUGGAGUUUUGUGAAAAGUUCAUACAAGUACUAUGAUGAUGCUGCAUGCAUUCUGAGGAAAAUGUUUCUUGAUGACAAAGCUCCACAUAUUUCAUCCACCAUUCCUGUGAAUCUUCCCUGGAAAGUCAGUGAGCCAGUCCAACAAUUUGAUACUGUAAAAGGUCAAGAAAAGGGAACUGCUGGCAUUUCUAGGCAAUCAGAAGAGCUGCGCUGUGUCAUAGCUGUCAUACGCCAUGGGGAUCGCACGCCAAAGCAAAAGGUGAAGCUGAAGGUAACUGAAGAAAAACUUUUGAAAUUAAUGUUGAAAUACAAUGGAGGAAAGGCCCGAGCGGAGGCAAAACUUAAAAGUGCCUUACAGCUGCAAGAUCUAUUAGAUGCAACUAGAAUCCUUGUUCCACGUGCUAGGUCUGGACGUGAAAGUGAUAGUGAUGCUGAAAUUGAGCAUGCAGAGAAGCUACGCCAAGUUAGAGCAGUUCUAGAAGAGGGUGGACAUUUUUCAGGUAUUUAUAGGAAAGUGCAGUUAAAACCAUCCAAUUGGGUCCAUAUUCCUAAAAGGAAUGGGGACGGUGAGGAGGAGUAUCCAAUUGAAGCUCUGAUGGUUCUCAAGUACGGUGGAGUAUUAACUCAUGCAGGAAGAAAGCAGGCAGAAGAGUUGGGAAGAUACUUCAGAAACAAUAUGUAUCCAAGUGAAGGGCCAGGAUUGCUUCGUCUCCACAGUACGUAUAGGCAUGAUCUGAAAAUAUACAGUUCAGAUGAAGGUCGUGUCCAGAUGUCUGCAGCAGCUUUUGCAAAAGGUCUUCUUGAUUUGGAGGGGGAAUUAACGCCAAUUCUGGUUUCACUUGUCAGUAAGGACUCUUCUAUGCUAGAUGGACUUCAGGAUGGCACUAUUGAGAUAAAUGAAGCAAAGGCCUGUUUGCAUGAUAUUAUCCUCUCUUCAAAAGUUGCAAAUGGCGAGCCUGUGGAGUUUCCAUGGAUGGUUGAUGGAGCUGGAGUGCCUCCAAAUGCUGCUAAGCUUCUCACAAAUUUGGCUCAGUUGACAAAAGAAAUAACUGCACAAGUGAAGCUGCUUUCUGAUGAUGAAGAUGGAGAGGCUGCAACAAAUAGUGACUCACCAAGUCAUCCUUAUGAUCAAGCAAAGGCACUAGGGAAAACAGCAAUUGAUAUGGACCGCAUUGCUGCUGGAUUGCCUUGUGGCAGUGAGAGCUUCCUUUUGAUGUUUGCCCGUUGGAAGAAACUAGAGAGGGAUCUCUACAACGAAAGAAAAAAGCGAUUUGAUACUACGCAAAUACCUGAUAUAUAUGAUUCUUGCAAGUAUGAUCUCCUUCAUAACUCGCAUCUCAAACUUAAUGGUUUGAGUGACCUCUUCAGAGUUUCUCAGUCGCUAGCUGAUGGUGUAAUUCCGAAUGAGUAUGGAAUAAAUGCGAAGCAGAAACUCAAAAUUGGUUCAAAGAUUGCACGCCGUUUGUUGGGAAAGAUUCUGAUUGACCUGCAUAACACCAGACGAGAGGUUACUGCUGCUGCUGGUGAAUAUAAUGCAUGCCAUGAUCCAACAAUAGUAUCUUCUUCAAAACGGAAGGACAGGGGUAACAAUGGGGAUGUUAAGAAUGAGGGAUUUUAUAGACCUAGCUCAAACAAGAAGUCGAUUGAUCUUGAUGAUUCGCACAAAGAAACCAAAUACUGCUUGGAUCCAAAAUAUGCCAAUGUGAUGGAACCUGAACGACGGGUUCGAACAAGGCUCUAUUUUACAUCAGAAUCACAUAUACAUUCCCUAAUGAAUGUGCUUCGAUACUGCAACUUUGACGAAUCUAUGAAUGGAGAAGAGAGUCUUGUUUGCAAAAAUGCUCUAGAUCAUCUGUUUAAAACAAGGGAACUUGACUACAUGAGCUACAUUGUAUUGCGUAUGUUCGAGAAUACAGAGGUUUCUUUGGAAGAUCCAAAAAGGUUUCGUAUAGAGAUGACAUACAGUCGUGGUGCAGAUAUAAGUACCUUACAGAGCGAGCAUGGCAAAGAUUCUUUGCUACCUGAUGACCAUACAAUGAAAAUUAUGGAACCGGAAAGAUUGCAGGAAGUUGGAUCAUAUCUGACUUUGGACAAAUUCGAUAAAAUGGUCCGUCCAUUUGCAAUGCCGGCUGAAGAUUUCCCCCCAGCUACCCCUUCGCAAUCUUUGGCUGUCCGUUUCUGCAAGGAUAAUGGAUUACAAGGAGCAAGAUUGCAACAUAAGUCAGACAUGGUGAGUGAUAUGCCAAAAAGGAAGACAAAAAAGCUUCAAGAAUAGCAUGUUUAGCGUGCAGGUCAGCUGCAUUUUGUUUGAUAUUCCUGUUAACUAAAGUCUCAGGGCGUCAAGCACUGAAGAUAUCAUGCAGCAGCAACAAUUUUGUCAGUUCUGAGAAUGAAACCUGAUAGAGCUUGUUUUGCAGACAGUUAUGUAGAUAAUAGGGUACAUAUGUGUGUUUGGAUAAUUUUUUCAGGAUAUACACCUUGGCAUAUUGAUGUGCCUUCAAAAUUAUAUUCAGGAAACAUUUGCAACCUUAGGCGUUGGCAUGAGACCGUUAUUUUUUCACUCAAUCAUUUUUCCGGUUUUGCCA